rnacentral:sRNA from 1 species
UACCUGGCAGCUGGCCAGUGGCACUGGCUGUGACCCAUGCAACUGCAAUGCUGCUCAUUCCUUCGGGCCGUCUUGCAAUGAGUUCACGGGGCAGUGCCAGUGCAUGCCUGGGUUUGGAGGCCGCACCUGCAGCGAGUGCCAGGAACUCUUCUGGGGAGACCCCGACGUGGAGUGCCGAGGUGAGUUGUGGGCGUUCUCGCAUUGACUUGAUCAGAGAGUGGAGGGAACGGGGGUUCUACAAGAGCCUUCUGUAAAUUAUAAAACACAGUACAAAUUAACGUGUCUAUAAGAACCUGUAUUUAAU